GAUGAACGCUAGCUACAGGCUUAACACAUGCAAGUCGAGGGGCAGCAUGGUCUUAGCUUGCUAAGGCCGAUGGCGACCGGCGCACGGGUGAGUAACACGUAUCCAACCUGCCGUCUACUCUUGGACAGCCUUCUGAAAGGAAGAUUAAUACAAGAUGGCAUCAUGAGUCCGCAUGUUCACAUGAUUAAAGGUAUUCCGGUAGACGAUGGGGAUGCGUUCCAUUAGAUAGUAGGCGGGGUAACGGCCCACCUAGUCUUCGAUGGAUAGGGGUUCUGAGAGGAAGGUCCCCCCACAUUGGAACUGAGACACGGUCCAAACUCCUACGGGAGGCAGCAGUUAGGAAUAUUCGUCAAUGGGGGAAACCCUGAACGAGCAAUGCCGCGUGAAUGAAGAAGGCCCUAUGGGUUGUAAAAUUCUGUUGUAUGGAAAGAAAUGUAAAGUUAGGAAAUGAAC
rnacentral:rRNA from 1 species